GAGUCCAAGUUUUACAGCUUUUACAUCAUGGUUUCUUCCAUCUCCUAUGUACUUAGCAAUGGAUGUUUUCUAAUAAACUGAAUUCCAAUAUGUCAUCCACCCAUUGAAUCUUAUUUUUUUCCUGAGUUAUGGUUGGCUAACCUAAGGACCUCUUUUUUCAUCAACAUCUGAACUUUACUGCACUCUAAGCUUUUCCUUAACAAAAGGGCCAAUUGGUUUGGAUGCUCCAAUUCAUGAACGUGUUGGAAGAACAGUUCUUAAUGGUAACCAGAUAAGUGAAUGGCCACUCUCCCAAGAGAUUUUGAUGACUUCCCUAACCAAUUAGAAGAGAGCAGGAUCCAUGACAUACUUCAACAGUGUGGCAAGAUGGCAUAUGCUUGUUUCAAUUGGGCUGGUACAAUUACAAUGAACUUGCCACUUGAGAAGCUACACAUAUUCACAAAUAUGGUGGCUUCUUAAAAGCUUUUUGAAUUUCUGCAUUUUGAUUCCUAAUAGUUCAUCCACCUAUCAAAUCUUAUUCUAUUAUUGUGGCCUCACCUAGAGCCCUUUGUUCUAGUGACUUCAACACUUCAAUGCUUGCUAAGCCUUCUGUUCUUGUCAAUCUUGUUGUCUUAACUAAGAGGCCAACCCUUUCGAAUGCUCCAAUUCAU